rnacentral:rRNA from 1 species
UUGCUGGACGGAAAUAGAGGCGAACGGGUGAGUAAUACGUAAGCAACCUGCCCACGAAGACUGGGAUAAUCCCUGGAAACGGGGACUAAGACCGGAUAGGUACACAGACCGCAUGAUCUGUGUAUUAAAGGUGAGAGACACUGGUGGAUGGGCUUACGGUGCAUUAGCUGGAUGGUGAGGUAACGGCCCACCAUGGCGAUGAUGCAUAGCCGGGCUGAGAGGCUGAACGGCCACAUUGGGACUGAGACACGGUCCAAACUCC